GACGAACGCUGGCGGCGUGCUUAACACAUGCAAGUCGAACGGAAAGGCCCUGCUUUUGUGGGGUGCUCGAGUGGCGAACGGGUGAGUAACACGUGAGUAACCUGCCCUUGACUUUGGGAUAACUUCAGGAAACUGGGGCUAAUACCGGAUAGGAGCUCCUGCUGCAUGGUGGGGGUUGGAAAGUUUCGGCGGUUGGGGAUGGACUCGCGGCUUAUCAGCUUGUUGGUGGGGUAGUGGCUUACCAAGGCUUUGCCGGGUAGCCGGCCUGAGCGGGUGACCGGCCAAAUUGGGACUGGAAUACGGCCCAGACUCGUACGGGAGGCAGCAGUGGGGAGUAGUGCACAAGGGGCGGAAGCCUGAUGCAGCAACGCCGCGUGCGGGAAGAGGGCCUUCGGGUUGUAAACCGCUGUCGCCUGUGACGAAGCGUGAGUGACGGUAAUGGGUAAAGAAGCACCGGCUAACUACGUG
rnacentral:rRNA from 1 species